UACGUAGGGGGCUAGCGUUGCUCGGAAUCACUGGGCGUAAAGGGUGCGUAGGCGGGUCUUUAAGUCAGGGGUGAAAUCCUGGAGCUCAACUCCAGAACUGCCUUUGAUACUGAAGAUCUUGAGUUCGGGAGAGGUGAGUGGAACUGCGAGUGUAGAGGUGAAAUUCGUAGAUAUUCGCAAGAACACCAGUGACGAAGGCGGCUCACUGGCCCGAUACUGACGCUGAGGCACGAAAGCGUGGGGAGCAAACAGG
rnacentral:rRNA from 1 species